GGUUAAGCGACUAAGCGUACACGGUGGAUGCCCUGGCAGUCAGAGGCGAUGAAGGGCGUGCUAAUCUGCGAUAAGCGCCGGUAAGGUGAUAUGAACCGUUAUAACCGGCGAUACCCGAAUGGGGAAACCCAGUGUGACUCGUCACACUAUCAUUAACUGAAUCCAUAGGUUAAUGAGGCGAACCGGGGGAACUGAAACAUCUAAGUACCCCGAGGAAAAGAAAUCAACCGAGAUUCCCCCAGUAGCGGCGAGCGAACGGGGAGGAGCCCAGAGCCUGAAUCAGCAUGUGUGUUAGUGGAAGCGUCUGGAAAGGCGCGCGAUACAGGGUGACAGCCCCGUACACAAAAGCGCAUGUGCUGUGAGCUCGAUGAGUAGGGCGGGACACGUGGUAUCCUGUCUGAAUAUGGGGGGACCAUCCUCCAAGGCUAAAUACUCCUGACUGACCGAUAGUGAACCAGUACCGUGAGGGAAAGGCGAAAAGAACCCCGGCGAGGGGAGUGAAAAAGAACCUGAAACCGUGUACGUACAAGCAGUGGGAGCACAGGUUUACCUGUGUGACUGCGUACCUUUUGUAUAAUGGGUCAGCGACUUAUAUUCUGUAGCAAGGUUAACCGAAUAGGGGAGCCGGAGGGAAACCGAGUCUUAAUUGGGCGUUAAGUUGCAGGGUAUAGACCCGAAACCCGGUGAUCUAGCCAUGGGCAGGUUGAAGGUUGGGUAACACUAACUGGAGGACCGAACCGACUAAUGUUGAAAAAUUAGCGGAUGACCUGUGGCUGGGGGUGAAAGGCCAAUCAAACCGGGAGAUAGCUGGUUCUCCCCGAAAGCUAUUUAGGUAGCGCCUCGUGAAUUCAUCUCCGGGGGUAGAGCACUGUUUCGGCUAGGGGGCCAUCCCGGCUUACCAACCCGAUGCAAACUGCGAAUACCGGAGAAUGUUAUCACGGGAGACACACGGCGGGUGCUAACGUCCGUCGUGAAGAGGGAAACAACCCAGACCGCCAGCUAAGGUCCCAAAGUCAUGGUUAAGUGGGAAACGAUGUGGGAAGGCCCAGACAGCCAGGAUGUUGGCUUAGAAGCAGCCAUCAUUUAAAGAAAGCGUAAUAGCUCACUGGUCGAGUCGGCCUGCGCGGAAGAUGUAACGGGGCUAAACCAUGCACCGAAGCUGCGGCAGCGAACGUAUCACUUAAAGCGAUUCAGCGGGUUACGAUUGACGGAGCGAAGCGACGUCAAAGCGUAUACAAAGUCGAGUCGGUUUAAGGAUACGUUCGUUGGGUAGGGGAGCGUUCUGUAAGCCUGUGAAGGUGGCCUGUGAGGGUUGCUGGAGGUAUCAGAAGUGCGAAUGCUGACAUAAGUAACGAUAAAGCGGGUGAAAAGCCCGCUCGCCGGAAGACCAAGGGUUCCUGUCCAACGUUAAUCGGGGCAGGGUGAGUCGACCCCUAAGGCGAGGCCGAAAGGCGUAGUCGAUGGGAAACGGGUUAAUAUUCCCGUACUUGGUGUUACUGCGAAGGGGGGACGGAGAAGGCUAUGUUGGCCGGGCGACGGUUGUCCCGGUUUAAGCGUGUAGGCUGGUUUUCCAGGCAAAUCCGGAAAAUCAAGGCUGAGGCGUGACGACGAGGCACUACGGUGCUGAAGCAACAAAUGCCCUGCUUCCAGGAAAAGCCUCUAAGCAUCAGGUAACAUCAAAUCGUACCCCAAACCGACACAGGUGGUCAGGUAGAGAAUACCAAGGCGCUUGAGAGAACUCGGGUGAAGGAACUAGGCAAAAUGGUGCCGUAACUUCGGGAGAAGGCACGCUGACACGUAGGUGAAGUGAUUUACUCAUGGAGCUGAAGUCAGUCGAAGAUACCAGCUGGCUGCAACUGUUUAUUAAAAACACAGCACUGUGCAAACACGAAAGUGGACGUAUACGGUGUGACGCCUGCCCGGUGCCGGAAGGUUAAUUGAUGGGGUCAGCGCAAGCGAAGCUCCUGAUCGAAGCCCCGGUAAACGGCGGCCGUAACUAUAACGGUCCUAAGGUAGCGAAAUUCCUUGUCGGGUAAGUUCCGACCUGCACGAAUGGCGUAAUGAUGGCCAGGCUGUCUCCACCCGAGACUCAGUGAAAUUGAACUCGCUGUGAAGAUGCAGUGUACCCGCGGCAAGACGGAAAGACCCCGUGAACCUUUACUAUAGCUUGACACUGAACAUUGAGCCUUGAUGUGUAGGAUAGGUGGGAGGCUUUGAAGUGUGGACGCCAGUCUGCAUGGAGCCGACCUUGAAAUACCACCCUUUAAUGUUUGAUGUUCUAACGUGGACCCGUAAUCCGGGUUGCGGACAGUGUCUGGUGGGUAGUUUGACUGGGGCGGUCUCCUCCUAAAGAGUAACGGAGGAGCACGAAGGUUGGCUAAUCCUGGUCGGACAUCAGGAGGUUAGUGCAAUGGCAUAAGCCAGCUUGACUGCGAGCGUGACGGCGCGAGCAGGUGCGAAAGCAGGUCAUAGUGAUCCGGUGGUUCUGAAUGGAAGGGCCAUCGCUCAACGGAUAAAAGGUACUCCGGGGAUAACAGGCUGAUACCGCCCAAGAGUUCAUAUCGACGGCGGUGUUUGGCACCUCGAUGUCGGCUCAUCACAUCCUGGGGCUGAAGUAGGUCCCAAGGGUAUGGCUGUUCGCCAUUUAAAGUGGUACGCGAGCUGGGUUUAGAACGUCGUGAGACAGUUCGGUCCCUAUCUGCCGUGGGCGCUGGAGAACUGAGGGGGGCUGCUCCUAGUACGAGAGGACCGGAGUGGACGCAUCACUGGUGUUCGGGUUGUCAUGCCAAUGGCACUGCCCGGUAGCUAAAUGCGGAAGAGAUAAGUGCUGAAAGCAUCUAAGCACGAAACUUGCCCCGAGAUGAGUUCUCCCUGAGACUUAGAGUCUCCUGAAGGAACGUUGAAGACGACGACGUUGAUAGGCCGGGUGUGUAAGCGCAGCGAUGCGUUGAGCUAACCGGUACUAAUGAACCGUGAGGCUUAACCUU
rnacentral:rRNA from 2 species